CCGCCAGAGAACUACAAGUGAAAAACUUAAAACUCAAAGGACUUGACGGUGUCCCAUAUCGACCUAGAGGAGCCUGUCCUAUAAUCGAUACUCCCCGCUCCACCCAACCUCAACUAGCAAAUAUUCAGCCUAUAUACCGCCGUCGACAGUUUACCCUAUGAAGGCCUAAUAGUAGACACAAUAGCCUUAACGCUAAUACGUCAGGUCAAGGUGUAGCAAAUGUUGAGGAAGAGAUUGGCUACAUUUUUUAUGAUAAAAAAUACGAAUUGCACUAUGAAAUACUGCAUGAAGGCGAAUUUAGUAGUAAAAC
rnacentral:rRNA from 1 species